rnacentral:lncRNA from 10 species
GGUGUCCGCGAGUUGCCGAAUGAAGCUGAGCGUCUCAGUGGAACCAGGGAUCUCAGGGAGAACCUUUUUGUGAUGAAAACGAGAUGAAACUAUGGAAGAACCAGAGAAGCAUCAGCCUGAGAAGGACUCAACUGAUUAUUGCUGGCUUUGAAGACAGGAAGGAGCCAUGAGCCAGGGAAUGCUGGUGACCUCUGGAAGCUGGAAAAGGGAAGGAAGUAGAUUGUCCUCUAGCCCCUUCAGAAAGGAAUGCAGCACUGUGACACCUUGAUCUCACAGUAGAAAACAGAUGAAUACACCUAGAUUUCUUCCUGCGUGAAUCCAGUUGAGGGGAAGGUAUAAAAUUUUCAAAUGGAGGAGUAU